AUGUGGUCUGCCACGCCGCCCGUGCCAAUUCCUUCGCCGCCUGCACUGCUGCGCGAUGCGCGCGCGCUCCUCCUCCCGCUCCCGGCGCUCUUCCUCUUCCUCCCGUGCCCAGCGGGCACAACGCGCCUCCUCCUUGCGCUCGGCCUGCAUUUGGCGCUUGUCGUCGGCGCGCUCCUCCGCCCGUCAGCGCUGCUGCCAGUGCUCCGGCUUUAUUUCAAGGAGCGGGGUGUCAUUCCCCAUUUCCAUUCCGAUAAGGCAGAGGGGAGAGGUCGAGCGGCGGAGGAGGGGGAGGCGAUUCCUUGUGUUCAUGGUGAUUUCGAGCUCAUCCACGGCAGGAUACUGACUUCUUCCUCUUGUUUCUCGUCGUCCGCGGCUGCUCUGGUUGGUUGUCCCCUCUCUCUUGCGCUUUUUGCCCGUGGUUUUCGUGCCCUUGUAGUUUCAGAUCUAGGUGAUUUCGCGGAUCCGCGGGCUGCGCAUGUUGCUGUCGCGGUGUCGCCUUUGGGGUGUGCGCGUGAAUUUCUGGUAGGAGCCUGCAGUGCGCCACGGGCAGGUUUCGCCGUGAUCCCGUGUGUUGUUGUUGUGGUCGCACACGAAAUCCCUCCCCCCUGCGGUUUUUUGGUUCUCGUUGUUGAUGUUGUUUUCUCCAUAAUAGGAGUGUAUGUAAGAUCAAGGGUCUGCAGUGUUGUAUGCCCGAUGAAUUUUUGUAAUGAUUCUUCUGGUGAUGAUGAAGAGCUUGGCAAAGCACUUUACAAUUUCUAUGUGAAAAAUAAGGUCAAGCACCUGAAGAGGAAAUUGUCUUCUGUUAGUAGAAGGAAUGUUAGGCAGAAACGAUCUUCUGAUUACCCUGUUUGUUCGACGUUCACUCGAUAUUCUGGAAAGUUCUUCUCAGGAGUUGUUGAUGGCAUGUGUUCUAGGUACAAGGAUUCAGAAUUGAAAAGGAAAUUCAUACCCUUAACUAAGUAUGAUAUCCAUGACAUCCUUGACCUCCCAGUAGAUGGUGAGCCACUUGUUUCAGAUCCUGAGGCUGGUCGUGAUUUUAUCCUCUCUCAUUUCAAUCUUACCAGUAUCCCACCAGUGUCCUUUUUUGCCAACAAGCUUAAAUCUGUAGAAGUUGAUUUGCUUGAUGAGGACGUCUUCAUUUUUUUCAUGAUUGUGGCUUUCUCUACUUUCCUUUGUCCCAACUCUAGCCUCAGUCCUAGUCCGAAGUACCUCCACAUCUUUCAGGAUUGUCAGUCUGUGCGUUCCUAUGAUCUUUCUAGUUUUGUUUACGAGUGGCUUUUGAGUAGCAUCAAAAAAUUCAAGGAUGCUACUAAAGUUGCCUCCAAAAGAUCAGUGACCUUCGGUGGAUGCCAUUAUGCAUUUGCCGUAGCUUACCUUGAUCAUUUGAACUUUGGGCUUCAGUCUGUACCUGAUGUGAAACCUCGUUCUGUUGAAAAAUCCUCGGGCAGUAAGAGUUUUGAUAUUGGCCCUUCUGAUGGUUCUUUUGCAAUGAAAACUGCUCUUGAAGUCAUUGAGCUUGUUCAGACUAGAAACCAAGACAAACCUAAGAUAUUCAUUAAUUGGGCAGAGUCUCUUGUUUUAAAUGUUCUGGAAUGUAACAAGUCUGUCUCAUUUCAUUCUGCUAUCGCCAAUGGUGUUUUUGCUAAAUCUGAUGGUAUUCCAGAGGUUGCUAUAUCUGAUGCUAUUCCGGAGGUUGCUAAAACUGAUGUUGCCCCAGAGGUUCCUACGUCUGAUGGUAUUCCAGAGGUUGCUACAUCUGAUGGUAUUCCAGAGGUUGUUGUACAGCAAGAGAGUCGUCCUGCGGUCACUCCAGAUGUUGUUACUCCCAUUGUCCCUCCUGCUGUUAUCUUUGGUGGUUUACAUAAUCCAGUUGUUCUAUCUAGCUCUUCAACACCAGCUAAAGCUGUUGCAAAAGAAGGUAUUUCUCCUUCAAAGUCUAAAUGUGAUAUCACUGAUGUCGAUUCUUUCGUGUUGCUUUCAGAUGGCCCUGCUAAGGAUUGUAAUGAGAAAGAUGUUGUUAAUGCUUUUGGGAUUCCUUCUUUUGCUGAGCUUAAUCGUGCUCUUGGUAUUCAGUCUCCUUCUAAUGUCUGCAAUUACACCCCAGUUCAUGCUCAUGGAAAAUCUCCUAUGGAAGAUACAAAUUCUUUUAGAGACCUGUCACCCCUUGUUCCAAUUCGCUUGUCGCAGUAUUUCCGUAAUGAGUUGGGUGAUGUCCAGUGUUCUCAGUAUGUUGCCGACAGAUAUCUGAAGUCGUUUAAUUCACCUAAUGACGAGGAUUGUAUUGUUAUGGUUAAUGUCGAUCACUCUGAUAAUUCAAAGCCAACCAAUCAUGUGAACUUAUGUUCUCCUGAUGUAAUCUUGAAAACUACUCCAAAAGCUAUUGCGAAGCUCAAUGAGGCAGUAGUUGAUGUCCAUAAAGUUGGUAGCUCAAACUUUGCAGCUAGGUGUCAAGAGCUAUCUAGAUCAAAUGAUGUUACUUACAACAAGCUGCACAGUUUUGCUGCCCCUGCAACAAGUUAUCGUAAUCCUGUAAAGGUUCCUAAUAGCCCAGAAUUAGAGAUCCUGUCAGACACGCUUGUUGUUUCUAGUGCUCAUCUUUCUAAGGUUCCUGCAUGUUCUAAAGGUGCUGCAUCAUUUCAGCCCCUUGGUGGUUCUACAACUAGUUCUUCUGCAGCUCAUGUCCCUCAUAGAAUGUUGUCCCUGAUUGCAAGUCAUCCAGAGUGGUGCAAGUACGAGGAAACAAUUCUGGAUGGUACCAAUGCUGAGAUUGUUGGUAAUGCUUUCAAUGGUGCUAAUAGCGCUUUUCCUAUGUGGAGAAGCAACAUGCUGUACUUCCCUAUUUGUAGGUUCAGUCAUUGGUUUUCUUUUGUGGUUUGCUUGAAGGAGAAACUGUUUGUCUUCCUCGAUUCAUUAUAUGGCGAGUUCUCAGAUUUCCACCUAGCCAUUCGUGAUCCGAUUGUUAACAACUUCACCAAUCUAUGGGACACAUAUGUGACUCCUAUAUUGAGGAAGCGUAUUGACUUUGAAAAUUUCGACAUUGUGUAUCCUGCGGUCCCUCAGCAAAAUAACACGUAUGAUUGUGGUGUUUUCUCUAUUAUGUACAUGAAGCACUGGACUCCUAGGACUCCAAUUGGCAAUCUUUUUACGCAAGCUGAUAUAGAUAACAUCAGGAUCAAGCUCAUAAAUGAACUUUAUUUCAGCUAA
rnacentral:rRNA from 1 species